AGAGUUUGAUCCUGGCUCAGGACGAACGCUGGCGGCGUGCUUAACACAUGCAAGUCGAACGGAAAGGCCCUUCGGGGUACUCGAGUGGCGAACGGGUGAGUAACACGUGGGUGAUCUGCCCUGCACUUUGGGAUAAGCCUGGGAAACUGGGUCUAAUACCGAAUAUGACCACGCUCUUCAUGGGGUGUGGUGGAAAGCUUUUGCGGUGUGGGAUGGGCCCGCGGCCUAUCAGCUUGUUGGUGGGGUAAUGGCCUACCAAGGCGACGACGGGUAGCCGGCCUGAGAGGGUGACCGGCCACACUGGGACUGAGAUACGGCCCAGACUCCUACGGGAGGCAGCAGUGGGGAAUAUUGCACAAUGGGCGCAAGCCUGAUGCAGCGACGCCGCGUGAGGGAUGACGGCCUUCGGGUUGUAAACCUCUUUCACCAGGGACGAAGCGCAAGUGACGGUACCUGGAGAAGAAGCACCGGCCAACUACGUGCCAGCAGCCGCGGUAAUACGUAGGGUGCGAGCGUCGUCCGGAAUUACUGGGCGUAAAGAGCUCGUAGGUGGUUUGUCGCGUUGUUCGUGAAAACUCACAGCUUAACUGUGGGCGUGCGGGCGAUACGGGCAGACUAGAGUACUGCAGGGGAGACUGGAAUUCCUGGUGUAGCGGUGGAAUGCGCAGAUAUCAGGAGGAACACCGGUGGCGAAGGCGGGUCUCUGGGCAGUAACUGACGCUGAGGAGCGAAAGCGUGGGGAGCGAACAGGAUUAGAUACCCUGGUAGUCCAA
rnacentral:rRNA from 1 species